GACGAACGCUGGCGGCGUGCUUAACACAUGCAAGUCGAGCGGUAAGGCCCUUUCGGGGGUACACGAGCGGCGAACGGGUGAGUAACACGUGGGUGACCUGCCCUCAGCUCUGGGAUAAGCCCGGGAAACUGGGUCUAAUACUGGAUAUGACUCCAUGACGCAUGUUGUGGGGUGGAAAGCCUUGUGCGGCUGGGGAUGGGCCCGCGGCCUAUCAGCUUGUUGGUGGGGUGAUGGCCUACCAAGGCGACGACGGGUAGCCGGCCCGAGAGGGCGACCGGCCACACUGGGACUGAGACACGGCCCAGACUCCUACGGGAGGCAGCAGUGGGGAAUCUUGCGCAAUGGGCGAAAGCCUGACGCAGCGACGCCGCGUGAGGGAUGACGGCCU
rnacentral:rRNA from 1 species